rnacentral:rRNA from 1 species
GUAACCUGUUUCAGGGUAUUGGACGGGUAUUUAACCCAGAAAAGCCCCGGGUUAAUUUACGUGCCCAGCAGCCCGCGGUUAAUACGUAGGGUGGCAAGGCGUUGUCCCGGAUUUAUUGGGGCGUAAAGCGAGCGCAGGGCGUUUUUUUAAGUCUGAUGUGAAAAGCCUUUCGGCUCAACCGAAAGAAGUGCCAUCGGAAAACUGGGAAAACUUGAGUGCAGAAGAGGGACAGUGGAACUUCCAUGUGUAGCGGUGAAAUGCGUAGAUAUAUGGAAGAACACCAGUGGCGAAGGCGGCUGUCUGGUCUGUAACUGACGCUGAGGCUCGAAAGUAUGGGUAGCAAACAGGAUUAGAUACCCUGGUAGUCCAUACCGUAAACGAUGAAUGCUAAGUGUUGGAGGGUUUCCGCCCUUCAGUGCUGCAGCUAACGCAUUAAGCAUUCCGCCUGGGGAGUACGGCCGCAAGGCUGAAACUCAAAGGAAUUGACGGGGGCCCGCACAAGCGGUGGAGCAUGUGGUUUAAUUCGAAGCUACGCGAAGAACCUUACCAGGUCUUGACAUACUAUGCAAAUCUAAGAGAUUAGACGUUCCCUUCGGGGACAUGGAUACAGGUGGUGCAUGGUUGUCGUCAGCUCGUGUCGUGAGAUGUUGGGUUAAGUCCCGCAACGAGCGCAACCCUUAUUAUCAGUUGCCAGCAUUAAGUUGGGCACUCUGGUGAGACUGCCGGUGACAAACCGGAGGAAGGUGGGGAUGACGUCAAAUCAUCAUGCCCCUUAUGACCUGGGCUACACACGUGCUACAAUGGAUGGUACAACGAGUUGCGAACUCGCGAGAGUAAGCUAAUCUCUUAAAGCCAUUCUCAGUUCGGAUUGUAGGCUGCAACUCGCCUACAUGAAGUCGGAAUCGCUAGUAAUCGCGGAUCAGCAUGCCGCGGUGAAUACGUUCCCGGGCCUUGUACACACCGCCCGUCACACCAUGAGAGUUUGUAACACCCAAAGUCGGUGGGGUAACCUUUAGGAACCAGCCGCCUAAGGGACCAAAAAUUUUGGGG